rnacentral:lncRNA from 10 species
UCCACUUCUUCAAGGAAGGGUCUUCCAGCUGAGCGCUUCCCUGUUUCUGUCCCUAUCUCCUUCUCUCUCCCAGAAAGUUUCUUGCCUUCUCUUGACUUACAGAAGACAUCACUUCCUUGAAGACUUGGCUCACUAUAAGCCUCCUGGCGGCUCCUUCCUGGGGCACUGGGCCAAACUCCUGACACGAUUAAGAAGAGGUUUUGGAACUGGGCCAGACUAGGAAAACAGGAAAGAUGACGAACAAAGCUUCCCUCCUUCUGAGGGUUGUUUAUUCCAGUGUUCCUUCAGUUGAGUUUUCUGGGUACACAGCAGCCCUUGGCUUUCCAUCCCAUGUGCAGCCUCUGGCCCAGCACUUAGUCCACUCUCAGUCAUAGAGCUUAUCACACAGACUUGCUCCAGUGCCCACUUGUCCAACUGCCCCAAACUCCUGGAAACCAGAAAGAACACAGAUGUAUCUCAACUGAGUGCCUACCAUAUUUCUACAGGAGGAACUGUCUUCGCAUAAAAGCCCCUCUGCAGCUCCUUAAGAUCCUACUGAUGCUUCAAUUGCCUCAUCUUUGGUCAACAAGAGCCUCUUCAAGACAUUGGCUUCUGAGCCCUUUUGACAUGACACUAUAGCUUUAUUGCUUUCUGGAAUGAAAAAGUCUUCUUGGUUCAUCUUGUAUAUUUUUUGCUCCAGACCUUGAAUCAGCUAUUUCUCCUAGGAGCCCUGGUUCUUUUGUGGGAAAUGAGUCUGAACAUCCAUAUUCGAGAGCAUGUUCUUGCCUACAUGUGAAUGGCAAGGCUGGAACGGAAGGCG